UUUUAAUUUGUAAAGCAAAACCCCCUCAAGAUUAACAUAAAAUAGUAGAGCAGACUUGCUAUCAUUUAGUUAGGCAGAGAGUUGGUAGCUCCAGAAGCAGCAGCAGCAUUAUUCUCUCCUUGCUUCUUCUCAUAGUAAUGAUAGAUUGCUGCACUUGAGAGCACUGCAAGUGUCAAGGCUUGUGCAUGCAUCCUGGCAUGGAUAAGCCUGAGACUUGGCUUUAGAGGAGUUUUUGUACGUGUAUAAGCCAGUGAUCCUCCAACUGCUGUUGCCCACAGUGCUCCAAUGCUGGUAAGCUUGUGCUCUGAAACCCAAGAUUGAAAUGCCUCCAUUUUCUUGAAUUCUUUCUUGAUGAAGCUGUAACAGAUGUCUAGAAAAUGAACUAGAGAUGGAUGGAGUGGGUGGAAGUGGCAAGCAAGGGGAGGAUUGGUAUUUAUAAUAGACAAGGAAGAUGUUGAAACAUGUGCGUAGCUCUGUUAUCAUCUUUCCUUUUCGCCCCUUGGUUUAGUGCUUUCACCUUUUUCUUGGAACACUGGAACCUUAAACUAGAGGCUCCCCUCAAUCCUCAGUUUCCUGGUUUUGUCACUGUUAUUCUUGA
rnacentral:misc_RNA from 1 species